ensembl:lncRNA
GCCUUUUCUUCUCCUAAAAACCUUCCCCUUGCAUAUCAAAAACUUGGGCUUUCAAAAGUAUUGUUUCUGAUCUGGGAUCAAGAACUUAUUUUGGAAAUUAGCACUGAACACUGACUAUUUAUUUUUCUCUGGAUUUCAACUGUCCUCAUUCUCCUUCAGGUUCUAUGGGAGCUGAACAAGGAAGAGAAGAAAAGUACAGACAUUUGUAUUUCAAGAUGCCUUUCUGCCAUAGCACUUACAAUACACUGGCACACAGCCUGGCACAAAAUAUGCAUGCUGUGCAUGCUAUUAGUAUGCUUUUAAAAUUAUUGAGUGAUCUUCAGCAGCAGCAUUUGCCGGGACAGCUUCCAUUACCACAGAUUUCUUCUUUGUCUGAUCUAGGAGUACAAUAUUUGAAUUUCUGUUUUCAAAACCAAAAAAUGAAAAAGCAUAAGGCAAAUCAAAAAUUACUCAACUACAGCAAUUUGAAGACUAACAUCCUGGCCUUCUAUCUGUGGGGCUGUAAUGACUCGGAGGAUGAAAAUCAGCGUAUGCAAAGAAGUACGCGUAGUAAGUUGCUUCAUGAAAUAUUGGUGAGAUUCUGCUGAUUUUACCCGUAGGAGGCUGUGUGCUGCUGACCGUCCUCAUCAAUGCAGAGAUUUGGCCCUCGCAGCUGACCGUCCUCAUCGAUGCAGAGAUUUGGCCCUCGCAGCUGACCAUCCUCAUCCAUGUAGAGAUUUGGCCCUCGCAGCUGACCGUCCUCAUCGAUGCAGAGAUUUGGCCCUCGCAGCUGACCAUCCUCAUCCAUGUAGAGAUUUGGCCCUCGCAGCUGACCAUCCUCAGCGAUGCGGAGAUUUGGCCCUCGCAGCUGACAGUCCUCAUCGAUGCAGAGAUUUGCUUCUGUCCCCAGGGUUUUCGUACAUGAGGCUCCUGGAUCCUUACAACACGAUGACAUAAGUACCUUCACACUUGAGGACACUAAGGCUCAGGGAGAAGUAACCCGCCAGCAAUCGAUGAAUCUGGAAUGUGAAUGCCUCUCCUUUCACUCUAUAUCCCUGUUCUUUUCCAGAUAGGAUGUACACGAUCAUUUCUCAACUGCAUAUAUAAAGCAACAGAGAAAAUGUUCUCUGCAAUUGACGAUCAAGACAAAAAAAGCCUCCUUUGUAUUACGGUGCAAUGUAGACUUACUUAACUUUUGUCAGUGGAAAUGUCAAACUUAUUUUAAGAAAAAUGUUCAAAAGAUUUCAAAGAUAUCAGAGGACACCUCAAUAAAAGAACAAUGGUAAGAUUUCAUUCUGAGUUAGAAAUAUGUAAAUUUAAUUUUCUUUAAAAUCCCCCAAAUCUUGAAGCUUAAAACAGAGAGUCCGUGGCACAUAGAAAACAUCAUGUUGUUUCACUUUGUUUUAGAGGUCUCACGGUUUGUGCAGCCACCACUGGCCUGGGAUUCCCUUCAUACAACAAUAACAAAUCCACCCACUAUAAAGACUUUAUUAUUUUUAAAAUUAAAAUAGAGGUAUUGUUUUUUCUGAUUACUAAAUAAUGCAUACUGAUUUUAAAAUAAGACAGAGACCAGAAGAUUAAAGAAGGAAAUAAACAUUGCUCAACAUCUUCGCCUCUGAAUGAAAACCACUCUUUCUAUUUAGAUGGCACUUUUCAGUCAGCGAAACUUCUCAGUCCCUGUUCUCUUUUCUUUUUUUUUUUUUUUUUUUUUUUUUUUUUUUGAGACGGAGUUUCGCCCUUGUUACCCAGGCUGGAGUGCAAUGGCGCGAUCUCGGCUCACCGCAACCUCCGCCUCCUGGGUUCAGGCAAUUCUCCUGCCUCAGCCUCCUGAGUAUCUGGGAUUACAGGCACGCGCCACCAUGCCCAGCUAUUUUUUUGUAUUUUUAGUAGAGACGGGGUUUCACCAGGUUGACCAAGAUGGUCUCUAUCUUUUGACCUCGUGAUCCACCCGCCUCGGCCUCCCAAAGUGCUGGGAUUACAGGCUUGAGCCACCGCGCCUGGCCCCCUGUUCUCUUUUCAUACAGGCUAUUUUCUCUACACUUCCCUCCCAGCUUUCUGGUGAUGGAGGCCUUUGAGGUACAGGUAAUUCUUUUCUCUGCACUUAUUCAUACACUCCAUGAUCAUCUUUGUGCUUCCCAUAUCUUUUGACAUGAGGCUCCUACUUAAAUAACAGAAUGUCUUGUUAAUUCUUAUAUGGUCCAAAUGUCUUUUAAAGUAAACAUUGGUUGAGAAAGUACCAUGAGUCCACUAAUGAUUUUUAAAAUUAGCUUUAAAAACGUAUCAAAAUGAUAUCCACAUAUAUUGGCAUUGUUAAGUCUACACGGG